CUUGAGCAGAGGAGGGCUGUUACUCACUGGAGGGCUACUCAGCGGGUACCAGCUCCUCUUUGCUUUCAGCUGCUCACCUCAAAAUAAUGUUACAAUGCCUAACAACUGCAUCUGCUUCCACUGCUCUAAACAUGGGAAGGAGACGGAAGCCUUCUGUGAAGAGCCUUUUUAGAAGCAGCUUCAUGUGACUGCAGUUUGUACCAGUCAGAUUGAUCUGCAAUCAGCAAACGUUGUUGCGGCUGGUAGUGUAUGUGUGUGUAUUCAGGUAUGAUACAGAAGAUGACAAUGUUUUUUAAACAACAAGGGAAGAAUCUGAAAAGAACUGCGGAAUAAUUUUAUGUUUAUGCAAUAAAAUCCUAAUGUCUAAGUCUUGCCAAGGCAUAGAGAUGAACAGCUCUACUCUCUUAAGGUUUGUUGUGAUUGUCACUGACCUCGGUAAGUCAGCACAUGAAACCCAUAUUUGAUCUGGAAGAGCAUUCAUUCAUUUCUGUAACUUCAGUAACAUUGUUAUGAAAAAUGUAUUAA